CCCGCUGGCUGCGCUGCGCCCAGCGUGAGCCCCACAGCUCAGCAUUCCUCUAUGGCAGCCCCACUGCUGCAGAGGUGGGCACACAUAUCAUUGAGGUGCUGGCAUCCAACCGGCUCACCUAUGAGACAGUGGCACAGCGGCUCAUCGUCUCCAUCACCCCCUCUCCAGAGAGGGAUCCGCCGUACCAGGUUGAGUUCCUGGUGGGGAACCACAACGUGGAGGAGCUGCUGCCGGAGGCCGUGCAGGAGCAGUUUGUGCAGGCAGUGUCUGCUGUGUGGGAGCACGACGACGUCCACAUCAUCAACAUCACCUCUGCUCUGGACAGGGGGGGCCGCGUCCCACUGCCCAUCGAGGGGCGCAAGGAGGGGGUGUACGUCAAGGUGGGCUCCCACGCUGCCUUCUCCCCCUGCCUGCUGGCUGCCAACUCUUCACAGAGCCUCUUCCUCUGCCAUCUGGGCCAGCAGCCCCUCGCCUCCUGCUAUGACUUCUUUGCACCCCACUUUGCCAUCCGCUGGUGCAACCUCACCCUGGUGAGACCCACCCCCCAGCCCCCCG
rnacentral:lncRNA from 1 species